ensembl:snRNA
GUCAUCAUUUUCAUAGUGUUGCCCUGCUGUUUGAUGAGGAGUUAGUGAGGGCAGUGCUGCUGCGAUCUACACAACACACCCUCUGAAAGCACACCUUCGCCUUACCUGUGCAUAAUUUCUAGAAAA